rnacentral:rRNA from 1 species
UCAGGCAAAACGAGUCACGGCACGCAGCUCAGUAACACGUGGCUAAUCUGCCCUUGGGACUAGAACAACCCCGGGAAACUGGGGCUAAAUUUAGAUAGGUGAAGAACUCUGGAAUGAGUCUUUGCCUGAAUAGGUUCACGUUAUCCUCGUGAACUUGCCCAAGGAUGAGGCCGCGACCGAUCAGGUUGUUGGCGAGGUAAUGGCUCACCAAGCCUUUUACCGGUGCGGGCCGUGGGAGCGGGAGCCCGGAGAUGGGUACUGAGACAAGGACCCAGGCCCUACGGGGCGCAGCAGUCGCGAAACCUUUGCAAUACACGAAAGUGUGACAGGGCUAUCCCGAGUGCCAUCCGCUGGGGAAGGCUUUUACCCAGUCUAGAACGCUGGGGGAAUAAGGAGAGGGCAAGUCUGGUGUCAGCCGCCGCGGUAAUACCAGCUCUCCGAGUGGUGUGGAUGUUUAUUGGGCCUAAAGCAUCCGUAGCUGGCUAGGUAAGUCCCUUGUUAAAUCCACCGAAUUAAUCGUUGGAUCGCGGGGGAUACUGCUUGGCUAGGGGACGAGAGAGGCAGACGGUAUUCUCGGGGUAGGGGUGAAAUACUAUAAUCCCGGGAAGACCACCAGUGGCGAAGGCUGUCUGCUAGAACGCGCCCGACGGUGAGGGAUGAAAGCUGGGGGAGCGAACCGGAUUAGAUACCCGGGUAGUCCCAGCUGUAAACGAUGCAGACUAGGUGUUUGAACGGCCACGUGCCGUUCUAGUGCCGCAGGGAAGCUGUUAAGUCUGCCGCCUGGGGAGUACGAUCGCAAGAUUGAAACUUAA